GGGGUUGUGGCUCAGAGGUAGAGCGCUCGCCUAGUAUGCGCGAGGCACUGGGUUUGAUCCUCAGCACCA
rfam:Ictidomys tridecemlineatus contig054207, whole genome shotgun sequence.